AUUGAACGCUGGCGGCAGGCCUAACACAUGCAAGUCGAACGGUAACAGGAAACAGCUUGCUGUUUCGCUGAUGAGUGGCGGACGGGUGAGUAAUGUCUGGGAAACUGCCUGAUGGAGGGGGAUAACUACUGGAAACGGUAGCUAAUACCGCAUAACGUCGCAAGACCAAAGAGGGGGACCUUCGGGCCUCUUGCCAUCGGAUGUGCCCAGAUGGGAUUAGCUAGUAGGUGGGGUAACGGCUCACCUAGGCGACGAUCCCUAGCUGGUCUGAGAGGAUGACCAGCCACACUGGAACUGAGACACGGUCCAGACUCCUACGGGAGGCAGCAGUGGGGAAUAUUGCACAAUGGGCGCAAGCCUGAUGCAGCCAUGCCGCGUGUAUGAAGAAGGCCUUCGGGUUGUAAAGUACUUUCAGCGGGGAGGAAGGGAGUAAAGUUAAUACCUUUGCUCAUUGACGUUACCCGCAGAAGAAGCACCGGCUAACUCCGUG
rnacentral:rRNA from 1 species